GUGACCUGCGGAGGAU
rnacentral:rRNA from 4 species